UACAGAGGGUGCGAGCGUUAAUCGGAAUUACUGGGCGUAAAGCGCACGUAGGUGGCGACGUAAGUCGGGUGUGAAAGCCCCGGGCUCAACCUGGGAAUUGCAUUCGAGACUGCAUUGCUGGAGUACGGAAGAGGAAGGCGGAAUUCCCGGUGUAGCGGUGAAAUGCGUAGAUAUCCGGAGGAACACCGGUGGCGAAGGCGGCUUCCUGGACCGAUACUGACGCUGAGGCGCGAAAGCUAGGGGAGCAAACGGG
rnacentral:rRNA from 1 species